CCUACGGGUGGCAGCAGUGGGGAAUAUUGCGCAAUGGGCGAAAGCCUGACGCAGCGACGCCGCGUGAGGGAUGAAGGUCUUCGGAUCGUAAACCUCUGUCAGCAGGGAAGCACGGUCACUGUGCUAAUCAGCAGUGAAUUGACGGUACCUGCAAAGGAAGCACCGGCUAACUCCGUGCCAGCAGCCGCGGUAAUACGGAGGGUGCGAGCGGUAAUCGGAAUUACUGGGCGUAAAGCGCUCGUAGGCGGUAUGUCAAGUCAAGGGUGAAAUCCCCGCGCGCAACGUGGGAACUGCCUUUGAAACUGGGAGACUGGAGUGUGUGAGAGGAGAGUGGAAUUCCAGGUGUAGGAGUGAAAUCCGUAGAUAUCUGGAGGAACAUCAGUGGCGAAGGCGACUAUCUGGCACAUAACUGACGCUGAGGAGCGAAAGCGUGGGUAGCAAACAGGAUUAGAUACCCGUGUAGUC
rnacentral:rRNA from 1 species